GCCUGUCCUCACUGGUAUCUGCGAUUUUUCUGUUUGUUUGAGACAAGAUCUCACUAUGUAUCCCUGGCUGGCCAAGAAUGCACAAUGCAAACAGACUGGCCUCAGUCUCAGAUCUGCCUGCCUCUGCCUCCCCAGCGCAGUGCAUCAGCACGCCCGUAGACUGCUGCCGUGUGCUGUCAUGUGAACACGUCCAUUGCUGGUUCUCUAGGCUCUUUCAGGUAUACCCUGUGUUAGUGCCAUGGCAUCCUUUCAAAAGCUUUAAUGCCCUGCGGGCCAGUUCUUCCCACCCGUCUUGUUCAUCGUCUAAAUCAUUCUGCCUUUUCUUAAUUCUUACCUUUCUUUCUGUGUUGUUUAUUCAUAUACUUCCAGGUUCCGGGGAAAGUGUAUUUUUCUUGGAGUUGUAUUCAGUUAUGGAUUUGACUAGGAAGAAGAGGUACUCUCGUGAUAAAGCCUUCCUAUUCAUAAGGGAGCAUCACCACUUAGGUCCUUAAAUGUAUUUCAGUAAAUUUGAAUAAUACUUUU
rnacentral:lncRNA from 1 species